GGACGGAAGGUGCAAGCGUUGCUCGGAAUCACUGGGCGUAAAGGGUGCGUAGGCGGCCGUGCAAGUCUGGCGUGAAAGCCCCGGGCUCAGCCCGGGAAGUGCGCUCGAAACUGCGCGGCUCGAGUGCCGGAGGGGAGAGUGGAAUUCUGGUGUAGCGGUGAAAUGCGUAGAUAUCAGGAGGAACACCGAUGGCGAAGGCAGGUCUCUGGGCCGAUAUUGACGCUGAGGAGCGAAAGCGUGGGGAGCGAACAGG
rnacentral:rRNA from 1 species